rnacentral:rRNA from 1 species
UACGUAGGGUCCGAGCGUUGUCCGGAAUUAUUGGGCGUAAAGGGCUCGUAGGCGGUUUGUCGCGUCGGGAGUGAAAACACGGGGCUUAACCCCGUGCCUGCUUCCGAUACGGGCAGACUAGAGGUAUGCAGGGGAGAACGGAAUUCCUGGUGUAGCGGUGAAAUGCGCAGAUAUCAGGAGGAACACCGGUGGCGAAGGCGGGUCUCUGGGCCAUUACUGACGCUGAGGAGCGAAAGCGUGGGGAGCGAACAGG